CUUUGUUUAGACGAAUCUGUGUUGUGGUGUUUAUAGAGACUCGCUAAAACCGAUAAACUUAUUUCAUAUUAUGUCUAUAUGAAUAAAAGGUACUUUGCUCUCAACACACAAAAAUAGUGGAGUGAGUAUGUCUAAAUUGGCCACCAUCUUCAUCUUCAACUUCUAUCUUCUCAUUUGCUUCGGCUUAAUCUAUGCCUCUCCUCCCAACGUUCAAUUCGACGAUGCCAUCUUUUCACCUCAUGGGGAUGUUGCGGCGUAUGUGUUGGAUGACGAGAGUUGCGAAGGAAUAGAUGAGUGUUUGAUGAGAAGAACUCUAGCGGCUCAUGUUGAUUAUAUCUACACUCAAAAGAAUAAACCCUGAAAUAGAAGAAGAAGAUCACAUGCACUCAGGACCGAUAUAGAUAAAUACUCUAUACUUUCUGUAUAUAUCUUUUUCAUAAAUAAGUUUCGUCUCAUUUCUCACUUCUGCUGAA